UACAGAGGUCUCAAGCGUUGUUCGGAUUCAUUGGGCGUAAAGGGUGCGUAGGUGGCGCCGUAAGUCGGGUGUGAAAUUUCGGAGCUUAACUCCGAAACUGCAUUCGAUACUGCGGUGCUUGAGGACUGGAGAGGAGACUGGAAUUCAUGGUGUAGCCGUGAAAUGCGUAGAGAUCAUGAGGAAGACCAGUGGCGAAGGCGGGU
rnacentral:rRNA from 1 species